AGAAACUUGGCUGUGACAUGAGAAGGGAGGGAUAAACCUCUCCAGAAGCAGCACCAAAGAAAUAUGCAGGAAAACAAGAAACUUUUGAAGAGCAGAGACUUCCAGUUCUGUUCUAUCCUGGGAACGGCGAAACAAAGCUGAGAGGUGACAAACUCAAAGUCAAGGCAAUGGAGGGAGACUGGAGCUGCUCCAAGGGUGUUGCUGAGCAGAAGGUUAGGACAGCCAUCCUGAGCCUGGUCUAACUGGAGAUGUGUCUGUGUGCAAAGCUGAGCACUCCAGGGUGGGAUGAGGCACUUUCUGUCAUAACCUGUCAUAUUAAACACCAGUGGAGCCCAGGCUGAUGUGAUCCAAGCCAGCAGACUGUGUUACCCUCGUGUUCCAUGCUGGCAACACGUGCAGUAUGUCAGAGCACUUAGUCAGGCAAGGCAGUGACAUAAA